rnacentral:misc_RNA from 1 species
CAAGAGUUUACAGACUCAAAAACCACUGUUUAUCUACCUCUGUUGCUUCGACAGGCGGCCCCAGGGCGGGGCCUCUAGCCUGUAAGGCGCCUGCCGAAGAAUUUUUUAAACUCGGUAUUUUAAGGACUAUCAGUUUUAAACGAAAAAAUAAUAA